CUGGGGUAUUCAGGCGACCGGGCCUGCUUUGAACACACUAAUUUUUUCAAAGUAAACGCUUCGGACCCCGCGGGACACUCAGCUAAGAGGAUCCAUCUGGAGG